GAUGAACGCUGGCGGCGUGCCUAAUACAUGCAAGUCGAGCGCUGAAGGUUGGUACUUGUACCUCCUGGAUGAGCAGCGAACGGGUGAGUAACGCGUGGGGAAUCUGCCUUUGAGCGGGGGAUAACUUCUGGAAACGAAUGCUAAUACCGCAUAAAAAAUUUAAACACAAGUUUUAAGAUUGAAAGAUGCAAUUGCAUUACCCAAAGGUGAUCUCGCGUUGUCUUAGCUAGUUGGUGAAGUAAAGGCUCACCAAGGCGAAGAUACAUAGCCGACCUGAGGGGGUGAACCGCCACAAUGGGACUGGGAAACGGGCCAAACUCCUACGGGAAGGAGCAGUAGGGAAUCUUCGGCAAAGGACGGAAGGCUUAACGGACAACGCCGGCGGGGUGGAGGAAGGUCUCGGGUCGGAAAACUCUGGUGAUAGGGAAGAAAGAUGGGGGGAAUGGAAUGCGCAUCAAUUGACGGUAACUACCCAGAAAGCGACGGCUAACUACGUG
rnacentral:rRNA from 1 species